CCUACGGGAGGCAGCAGUGGGGAAUUUUGGACAAUGGGCGAAAGCCUGAUCCAGCAAUGCCGCGUGUGGGAAGAAGGCCUUCGGGUUGUAAACCACUUUUGUACGGAACGAAACGGUUCGCUUUAAUACAGUGGGCUAAUGACGGUACCGUAAGGAUAAGCACCGGCUAACUACGUGCCAGCAGCCGCGGUAAUACGUAGGGUGCGAGCGUUAAUCGGAAUUACUGGGCGUAAAGCGUGCGCAGGCGGUCAUAUAAGACAGUUGUGAAAUCCCCGGGCUCAACCUGGGAAUUGCAUCUGUGACUGUAUAGCUAGAGUACGGUAGAGGGGGAUGGAAUUCCGCGUGUAGCAGUGAAAUGCGUAGAUAUGCGGAGGAACACCGAUGGCGAAGGCAAUCCCCUGGACCUGUACUGACGCUCAUGCACGAAAGCGUGGGGAGCAAACAGGAUUAGAUACCCUGGUAGUCCGCGCCCUAAACGAUGUCAACUGGUUGUUGGGUGCAUUAGUACUCAGUAACGAAGCUAACGCGUGAAGUUGACCGCCUGGGGAGUACGGCCGCAAGGUUGAAACGUUAAAGAGUAGUAGACGUGNGAGUAGCGACGAGACGACGACGGAGGUUAGG
rnacentral:rRNA from 1 species